rnacentral:rRNA from 1 species
GCGUUGUUCGGAAUUACUGGGCGUAAAGGGCGCGUAGGCGGCCUUCUAAGUCGAACGUGAAAUCCCCGGGCUCAACCCGGGAACUGCGUCCGAUACUGGAAGGCUUGAAUCCGGGAGAGGGAUGCGGAAUUCCAGGUGUAGCGGUGAAAUGCGUAGAUAUCUGGAGGAACACCGGUGGCGAAGGCGGCAUCCUGGACCGGUAUUGACGCUGAGGCGCGAAAGCCAGGGGAGCAAACGGG